CGACAUUGCUCGCUUCUGGUCCAUCCGAGCUGAGCAGGCAGACAACUGGGACCUUACGGAGAUCGAUGCCAUUCAGCCAGAUCUUUCUUUUCUUGCCAACCGGGAGUGGGAACUAGAACAGGAUUAUGUUUGCCUAUUCCAACGUAUAACGCCGCCUGUCUCUGACAUGAUGGGGCUUAUUGACUGUAUACCACCGGAAGCAUUGAGUUUAGUUCCUCCUCCCCAGCAACCAAGCCUGUUAUCAGGGGACCUUGGUACUGUACCACAUACGUCCCAACCAGCCCCAGAGAUGGAAGACCUUAUUGACUUGUCCUGGG